rnacentral:piRNA from 1 species
UGGCUCAAACACGCUGAGACAAGCGUUACCU